rnacentral:rRNA from 1 species
GCGGAUGAACUGUGGGUAGCGGAGAAAUUCCAAUCGAACCCGGAGAUAGCUGGUUCUCCCCGAAAUAGUUUUAGGACUAGCCUCAAGUUAGAUACCUGGAGGUAAAGCACUGAAUAGCCUAGCGGCCGAGAGGUUAGCGAAGCUUAUCAAACUCAGAAUGCCAGAGUAUUGAUGCUUGGGAGUCAGACAGUGUCAGAUAAAUGUCAUUGUCAAAAGGGAAACAGCCCAGAUCUACAGCUAAGGUCCCAAAGUCAGGUUAAGUGGAAAACGAUGUGAAGAUACGCAGACAACCAGGAUGUUGGCUCAGAAGCAGCCACUCAUUCAAAGAGUGCGUAAUAGCUCACUGGUCGAGCGUCUUUGCGCGGAGAAUUUAACGGGGCUAAACCUGACACCGAAGCUUAGGCAAUACAGCAAUGUAUUGGGUAGGGGAGCGUUGUAUACGCGGUGAAACAGUAGCGCAAGCGGCUGUGGAGUGUAUAGAAGUGAGAAUGCCGGAAUGAGUAGCGCGAAUGCAGUGAGAAUCUGCAUGGCCGAAAGCCUCAGGUUUCUGGAGGAAGGUUCGUCCGCUCCAGGUUAGUCGGGAGCUAAGGUGAGGCCUAACGGCGUAGCCGAUGCACAGACGGUAGAGAUUCCGUCACCACCAAAAGAGUUAAACACAGGGACACAUUUGAAGUCUCGGAGCCGGGUGUUGGUUCCGGUAGCGAUCGAGGGAAGUUAGUACCGAAGUCCGGGAUGGAAGAUGGCGAGAAAAGCUGUGUGUAUUUCUGCGGUGCCCGUACCGCAAACCGACACAGGUAGGUAGGAAGAAGAUUCUAAGGCCAACGGGAGAAGGGUUGUUAAGGAACUCGGCAAAUUGACCCCGUAACUUCGGGAGAAGGGGUGCUCCAGAGAUGGAGCCGCAGAGAAUCGGCCCAAGCAACUGUUUACCAAAAACACAGGUUUGUGCUAAAUCGAAAGAUGACGUAUACGAGCUGACGCCUGCCCGGUGCUGGAAGGUUAAGAGGAGAUGUGCAAGCAUUGAAUCGAAGCCCCAGUGAACGGCGGCCGUAACUAUAACGGUCCUAAGGUAGCGAAAUUCCUUGUCAGGUAAGUUCUGACCCGCAUGAAAGGCGUAAUGAUUUGGGCACUGUCUCAACAGCCCGCCCGGCGAAAUUGUAGUACCGGUGAAGAUGCCGGUUACCCGCGACAAGACGGAAAGACCCCAUGGAGCUUUACUGUAGCCUAAUAUUGGGUUUCGAUGUUGCAUGCACAGGAUAGAUGGGACACAGGGAAACAAGUGCUUUGGCAUUUGUGGAGUGGCCGUUGGGAUACCAUCCUUGCGAUAUUGGAAUUCUAACCUGCGCCUUUGAAUCAAGGCGGGGGACAUUGUUAGGUGGGCAGUUUGACUGGGGCGGUCGCCUCCUAAAGAGUAACGGAGGCGUUCAAAGGUUCGCUCAGCUUGAACGGAAAUCAAGCAAAAGAGUGCAAACGCAGAAGCGAGCCUAACUGCGAGACUGACGGGUCGAGCAGUAACGAAAGUUGGAGUUAGUGAUCCGGUGGUAUGUGAGUGGAAAUGCCAUCGCUCAACGGAUAAAAGUUACCCUGGGGAUAACAGGCUGAUCUCCCCCAAGAGUCCACAUCGACGGGGAGGUU